rnacentral:snoRNA from 12 species
AAUUACAAUACUACCAAACAAUGAAAUAUUAGGUAGCCAUUUAAAAGUCACAUUUAGCUGGGUUUAAGAAGUGCAAUAUUAAAACAAAAGCCAUGAGACUUGUAAGCCCAGUGUGUAAAGAUACACUCUGAGUUAUAACUCAGAGGCACAGUU